UUGAAAGGGAAACGAUUGAAGUCAGUCGUGCUGGCGCGAAAUCAACCUUCUCGUCUUGAGAUCACAUGGCGUGGCGAGCCUCAAAACCGUCACGAAGCGUGAACUCUUGGUGAAAUGGAGCACUUUCGUGUCCGCUGGUUAACAUCAAUUUCGAACGUCAUAAAAAGGCUGGAGGGAUGUGGCUCCUUCGGGAGUGUUAUAACCUUUAGCGGAAUGUGGUGUUCGGGAUUGAGGAUUGCAACGAAUACCUUUAGGGCUGUUCCACCUGGCUUCUCUUUGGUAUCCUGGUGACGACAGCUUGCUGACGUCGUUAGGAUUCGCCUUUGACCAGGUUAGAGUGUGAGCAAAUUCGUUAAGGAUGUUGACGUA
rnacentral:rRNA from 1 species